UACGUAGGGGGCAAGCGUUGUCCGGAAUUAUUGGGCGUAAAGCGCGCGCAGGCGGUCCUUUAAGUCGGGGGUGAAAGCCCAGAGCUCAACUCUGGAACUGCCUUCGAAACUAGAGGACUUGGGUACGGGAGAGGUGAGUGGAAUUCCGAGUGUAGAGGUGAAAUUCGUAGAUAUUCGGAAGAACACCAGUGGCGAAGGCGGCUCACUGGCCCGUUACCGACGCUCAGGCGCGACAGCGUGGGGAGCAAACAGG
rnacentral:rRNA from 1 species